rnacentral:rRNA from 1 species
UGCCAGCCGCCGCGGUAAUACGGGGGGUGCAAGCGUUGUCCGGAAUUACUGGGCGUAAAGGGCGUGUAGGCGGCGAGAUAAGUCAGAUGUGAAAGGCUGCGGCUUAACCGUGGAAAUGCAUUUGAUACUGUUUUGCUUGAGUUCGAGAGAGGGUAGUGGAAUUCCCAGUGUAGCGGUGAAAUGCGUAGAUAUUGGGAAGAACACCAGUAGCGAAGGCGGCUACCUGGCUCGCAACUGACGCUAAGGCGCGAAAGCGUGGGGAUCAAACAGGAUUAGAUACCCUGGUAGUCCACGCUGUAAACGAUGGGCACUAGGUGUUGGUCUCGUCUAUGGGAUCAGUGCCGCAGCAAACGCAUUAAGUGCCCCGCCUGGGGAGUACGAUCGCAAGGUUGAAACUCAAAGGAAUUGACGG